CCGACGAAAAGGCAAAGCACGGGCAACCGUGUGACGCAAAGCUACCUGUCCAGUUGCAACUGGAUAGAGGGGCUGCCGAA
rfam:Geobacter uraniireducens Rf4, complete genome.